rnacentral:sRNA from 1 species
CUUGAUCAGAAACGAACUGGACUUGUGAUCAUCCCCGGGAAGGCGCGCCCACAUUCACGCCGCCCUACCAAGGCU